AUUGAACGCUGGCGGCAUGCUUUACACAUGCAAGUCGAACGGCAGCACGGGCUUCGGCCUGGUGGCGAGUGGCGAACGGGUGAGUAAUAUAUCGGAACGUACCCAGAAGUGGGGGAUAACGUAGCGAAAGUUACGCUAGUACCGCAUACGAUCUAUGGAUGAAAGCAGGGGACCGCAAGGCCUUGUGCUCCUGGAGCGGCCGAUAUCUGAUUAGCUAGUUGGUGAGGUAAAGGCUCACCAAGGCGACGAUCAGUAGCUGGUCUGAGAGGACGACCAGCCACACUGGAACUGAGACACGGUCCAGACUCCUACGGGAGGCAGCAGUGGGGAAUUUUGGACAAUGGGCGCAAGCCUGAUCCAGCAAUGCCGCGUGAGUGAAGAAGGCCUUCGGGUUGUAAAGCUCUUUUGUCAGGGAAGAAGCGGUAGAGGCUAAUAUCCUUUGCUAAUGACGGUACCUGAAGAAUAAGCACCGGCUAACUACGUG
rnacentral:rRNA from 1 species